GCCUGCUCUGCAGCUCCCCGGGGGUUUAUGUUUUGGCAUGAAUAGCUGUGCCCAUUUACAUCUCCCGUCUGUUUGGGCUGGCACCAAGGAUGUGCACCAAAGGAGGUAUGCAAAGAGGUGGAGAGACUGAGCUAGCAGCAAGGUUGGAACAAGGUGCUGAAUGCCGCCGCUUCUUCCUCUGACGUUUAACGCAGUGUUUAACAAAGGGAUGGUGCGGCCACGAGGAGCUCCUUCGUAGGCGGUGAGGCCGAAUGUCACACUGUGCUGUGUGGGCACAUGGGCUCGUGGAGAGGUGUUGGGAAAUGCAGGAAAACUGCAGCUUGCCCACGGCAGCUCUGUGUCCCUCAGCUCUGCUCCACUCUACAAAGUGAUGUCAUCAUGUGCUGCUUUAGUCCUGAGGUGCCUCCAAUGGCCGCUGUGCCAUCUCAGCUGCUCUUCAGAGCUUCUGCAAAUGAACUCAACAACUCACAAACAGAGGCCUAUGACUUCAGCUGAGGAGCAUGCAGCAGGCAUUGAUGAGCUGCCAAGCAACGAAGAUUUGGUUUCAGGGUGGAUGCAGAAGCCAGAUAGUGACAUUUUUCUUGGGUUUUUGUCUGCCCUCCUUCCGGUGAAUUCCCACUGAAGAUAAUUUGGGCUCCGAGAGAAGAAACCCCUCCCCGGGAACUUGUUAUUUCAGUAACAGCUGAGUAAGGCCCAUGGAGGUCUUCAGGCUUCAGACAACCCUUUGGAAGCAAUAAUAACAGCAAGGAAAGAAACAAGAUGGAAAGCAUGGCCCGUGGCCAUCGAUCUACCCAGGCAGUCUGCUGCUGGUGGCACUUCAGCUGGAUGCAAAACCAGCACGAAAAAAAACCACCAAACCACGAUCCAAGUACAAGGUGCCAACAAGUUCAUCUUUAAUUAGCAGUUAAUUAGUUGUUUUGCUCAUUCGUCAGAGCACGAAUGUUUCCCAGCUGUGUAUCUAAACAGUAUUCCUCAGCCUUUCAGGCCUCCCUGUGAUCCCUGCAUCACUGAACAGCCCUGGAGUUCCCUCCAUUCCCCCCGUGGGUGCAGUCCCGCAGCCAUGGGAGCUCUCAGUGGGGGCGAUGCUCUGCGGUGCCUCAGCUCCAGCCCUGCUCUGUGCUCCCUGCCCAGCACUGCAGGGCUUUCCAGUCCUCCUACAUGAGAGAGCAAUGCUUUCUCUGAAGCGUCCUUAGGCAGCGUACCUGCCUGGUGAAGGAUGACUAUUCCUAAAUGGCUUUGCAGUCUUUUGAAAAACCAGUCAUGAAAUAAUUGAGUCAAGCUUUCGUGAAAUAGAUCUUAAUUUUAUUCUAUGGAUGUCAUAGAUCUGAAAUUCUCAAAUGCUGAUGAACUUCCGUACGAACGCUUUAUGAUACUGGAAGUUCCCAGUGCUUGCAGUGCAGUCCUGCAGCGGUGUGGUGUUGGCAUAAGAACAAAUGGGAGGAGAGCGUUAAGAGAAUGUAAAAUAAAGAUAACUCUGAAGUAAACCCAAACGGUAGCCAACCAAUUACCUUAUCAUUCCCACUUUGCAGCUCGGGCAG
ensembl:lncRNA